rnacentral:tRNA from 1 species
GGCUCUAUAGUGUAGUGGUUAUCACACUGGACUCUGAAUCCAGUGACCCCAGUUCGACCUGGGUAGGGCCU